rnacentral:rRNA from 1 species
GGGCCCGCACAAGCGGUGGAGCAUGUGGUUCAAUUCGACGCAACGCGAAGAACCUUACCGGGGUUUGAACUGUAUGGGACAGCUCUAGAGAUAGAGUUUUCCUUCGGGACCCAUAUAGAGGUGCUGCAUGGCUGUCGUCAGCUCGUGUCGUGAGAUGUUGGGUUAAGUCCCGCAACGAGCGCAACCCUCGCCUCCUGUUGCCAACAGGUAAUGCUGGGCACUCUGGAGAGACUGCCGGUGACAAACCGGAGGAAGGUGGGGAUGACGUCAAGUCCUCAUGGCCUUUAUGCCCCGGGCUACACACGUGCUACAAUGGUCGGUACAAAGGGUUGCAAUACCGUGAGGUGGAGCUAAUCCCAAAAAACCGAUCCCAGUUCGGAUUGGAGUCUGCAACUCGACUCCAUGAAGCUGGAAUCGCUAGUAAUCGCGGAUCAGAAUGCCGCGGUGAAUACGUUCCCGGGCCUU